UUUAUCCGUUUCUCAUGCAGGAAUGGAUGCCCAAGUUGCUUAUGGCUUCCACCAUUUACGCAAUGAAAAACCUUACCUUGCACAUGGUCCAGUUGCAAAUAAGCUGAUCUACUCUGGUUACAGUUGUGCUCAAGGUUGGUUCAUCACUCCUUGCUCGAGCGAUCCAAGUUUAAGGCUUUUUAUUCCACUAUAUGUUCUCAACUAGUAGUUUUGAACUUCUUAAAGCCAAAUCACUUAUUGAGAGCUUGAAAUCAAAGCAUAUCUAGGGAUUAGUUACUUUGGAGGUAAAAUUACUUUGUAGAAGUAUCAGCGUCAUAGUUAUGAAGUUACUUGGGAUGCUAAGAGAUUUGGCCUGAAUUUUCUUAAACUGGGGGUUGCAAUUGCUGAACAUAUUUUAUGCUUUACUUCCACAGGGUAAAGUUUCAAUAAUGUUAAUGGUGAGAGCAUUAAUGAGGUCAAUUAAUGAAUUGUCAGGUUCAAUUUCCCUUCUUUGCAGAGAUUUACACCUUUCCAAAAGGGAGGAAUAAAGCUUCAUGUUUUCUUCUUCUUUCCUUUUUCUUUAUUUAUUUAUCCUUGAAAUCU